rnacentral:rRNA from 1 species
UUUAAGUCCGUGGCAGCGGCCGUGGUAGGACGGAGGGGCCAAGAGUUAAGCGGAAUCAAUGGGUUGAAAGGGUCCGUAGGCGUGCGGAUAAGGCAGUGGGGAAAGCCCAUCGGUCAACGAUGGAAGUGUCAUUGAUACUGUAAGACUUGAAUGCUUAGGAAGUAACUAGAAUAUGUAGUGUAGCGGUGAAAUGCUUAGAUAUUACAUGGAAUACCAAUUGCGAAGGCAGGUUACUACUAAGUGAUUGACGCUGAUGGACGAAAGCGUGGGGAGCGAACAGGAUUAGAUACCCGAGUAGUC